rnacentral:rRNA from 1 species
UGGGGAAUAUUGCACAAUGGGCGCAAGCCUGAUGCAGCCAUGCCGCGUGUAUGAAGAAGGCCUUCGGGUUGUAAAGUACUUUCAGUCGGGAGGAAGGUGGUAAGGUUAAUAACCUUAUCAAUUGACGUUACCGACAGAAGAAGCACCGGCUAACUCCGUGCCAGCAGCCGCGGUAAUACGGAGGGUGCAAGCGUUAAUCGGAAUUACUGGGCGUAAAGCGCACGCAGGCGGUUUGUUAAGUCAGAUGUGAAAUCCCCGGGCUCAACCUGGGAUCUGCAUCUGAUACUGGCAAGCUUGAGUCUCGUAGAGGGGGGUAGAAUUCCAGGUGUAGCGGUGAAAUGCGUAGAGAUCUGGAGGAAUACCGGUGGCGAAGGCGGCCCCCUGGACGAAGACUGACGCUCAGGUGCGAAAGCGUGGGGAGCAAACAGG